rnacentral:misc_RNA from 1 species
UUUCUCUCCAAAGUCUCUCCUCGUUAUCAUCACGCUACCAAACCUACAAAAUAACAACAAAUCUCGCCAACAAUAAUGGGGUCGUUCUCUCCUGUCAAGGGGCCUCUGCGCUAUCCACUUGCUCGCCGGGACGAGUCUGUGGUUGAAGAUUACCACGGAGUUAAGGUCGCCGAUCCUUAUCGAUGGCUUGAAGAUCCUGACGCCGAGGAAGUGAAAGAGUUUGUGAAGGAGCAGGUGAAAUUGACGGAAAGUGUGUUGACGUCAUGCGAAGCAAGAGAAAAGCUUCGCGAGAAAAUCACGAAGCUGUUUGAUCACCCGCGCUACGACGCACCUUUCAAACGAGGGGAUAAGUAUUUCUACUUCCAUAAUACUGGGCUUCAAGCCCAAGACGUUCUCUACGUGCAGGAUAGUUUGGAUGGAAAGCCGGAGGUUUUGCUUGAUCCAAAUGCUCUUAGUGAGGAUGGAACAGUCGCAUUGAACACGGAAACGGUUUCAGUUAGUGAGGAUGCUAAGUACUUGGCUUACGGGGUUAGCUCGAGUGGGAGUGAUUGGGUCACAGUGAAAGUUUUGCAUGUUGCGGAUAAGAGAGUCGAGGCUGACACGUUAACUUGGGUUAAGUUUUCAGGUAUUAGUUGGACCCAUGACAGCAAAGGGUUUUUCUAUAGCCGUUAUCCAGCUCCCAAAGAAGGAGAAAACUUAGAUGCUGGGACAGAGACUAGUUCUAAUCUUUACCAUGAGCUAUACUAUCAUUUUUUGGGCACAGAUCAAUCUGAAGAUAUACUAUGCUGGAGAGAUACCGAAAACCCCAAAUACACGUUCGGAGCUAGUGUAACAGAUGAUGGAAAGUAUCUUCUGCUGUACAUUUCAGAAAGUUGUGAUCCAGUCAACAAAGUAUACUACUGCGAUAUGUCUGCAUUUCCUGAAGGCCUUGAAGGUUUCAGAGGAAAUCACCUGCUUCCAUUCAUCAAGUUUAUUGAUGAUUUUGAUGCUCAGUAUGAAGCCAUAGCAAAUGAUGAAACCCUAUUUACUUUUUUGACUAAUAAAAAUGCUCCUAAAUAUAAAUUAGUCCAGGUAGAUUUAAUGGAGCCAAGUAUUUGGACAGAUGUUGUCCCGGAAGCUGCAAAGGAUGUCCUAGAAUCAGCAUGUGCUGUUAAUGGUGAUCAAAUGAUUUUAAGUUAUUUGAGUGAUGUCAAAUAUGUUUUACAGGUGAGGGAAUUGAAAACAGGAUCCUUGCUGCAUCAGUUACCAAUUGACAUUGGGACAGUCGAUGGGAUAUCUGCAAGACGGAAAGACAGUAAAAUAUUUAUUGGGUUUACUAGUUUUCUUACUCCUGGUAUCAUAUAUGAAUGCAAUUUAGACACUGAAGUUCCAGAUAUGAAGAUAUUUCGGGAAAUUAGUGUGGCAGGAUUUGAUCGCACAGAUUUCCAUGUGGAUCAGGUUUUCUUUCCUAGCAAGGAUGGCACCAAGAUACCAAUGUUUAUUGUGGCCAAGAAGAAUAUAAAAUU